GUCGUCAACAAUUCCUACAACCUUGUUAAAAACGCGCAUCACGUCAACGUGUGAAUGUUUAUAUUGGUUGUGGUGAAUGGUUGAGCAUUUUUCAUAUACGCUGUGUAUUUUUCCAUAUUCUGGAACGAGAUAGUGUGGAGACUGGAGCUUGCUCCUAAUGUUCCUUAUCUAUCCUCUGGACCUAUCUUUGUUGCGCCCACGUUGCGCCCACACCAUUGAGCAUCAGCAUUGAUUUUUUCUCAGUGGGCUCCGGAGUCUGACGUCCUAACUAGCUGCUCUUCGGCUUUAGCAGUCUUCCACACACUAUCUUGAUAUCUUCAGUGGGCUAGCCCGUGUUCUUGAGCCUCCAUUUGAAUUAUUGAUUGUGGAGCGUAGUUACACGUCUAGGAAAUGAGUGUAGUAGCUAUCCUGAAAAGUAAAGGAGAGGCAUAUGGAGAAACAAUUGAAUCAAGUGCUAUCGGAGACCAGCCAUUGUCAAGCAGACUCUCUGAGGUGCAGCACAAAAUAAAUGAAAAGCUGACAGCUUUAGUUCAAAAGAAACCAGGAACAAACGGGACGGACCAGGCCGGCGGUGAGGACCAGAAAGACGCCCCGGAGGAGGAUGACGAAGAUGACGAUAUUAUCGAUUCCGUACCUCCAAAGAGGAGAAAAACGUGACGUGGUGACAAUGCGAAGGCGACGGGGCUGGAUUGUUAUGCAUCAUUUUUGUGAAUAAAACGUGCUCGUGAUCAUGA